rnacentral:misc_RNA from 1 species
CAACCCGGAAGUGAACGCAGGCGCCCGCACACCACAACCAGGAACUCACAUGCGCCCCUAAAUGUGUUCAGUCUCUUAUGUUGGCGAAACGCAAUACUGAGAGGCGUCGCCGGCAUUCGCCUGUGCGCGGCACGUGGCACAGGCUGUGCUGCCGCUGCUGCUGCUGCGUGUGGUGGUGCCGCAUCCGCAUUGCCUAAGGUCUCUUGUUUUUUAUUCUGAUUGCUCGCCCGCCUCGAUCGCUUGCUGUGACGGGGCACAUUCCGCGUUGUUGCGCCCUGGCCAGCGCAGCCAGUGGAGCUACGGCCCGGCCCGGCCUCCACCGUCUACGAAAGAGCUGUGGGACAGCCUGGAGGGCCUGCUGAUCUGUGUGCGCCCCACGCACCCGGCAAAUGCAUUCGAGGACCGCCCCGCCGCUGUGGCGCAGCCCGGCAUGCACGUGAAGAGCGCCAUCGCCAGCUGGAGCGGCAAUGCGACGUGGGGCCCGGUGAUGGGCACUGGCGAAGCGGAGCCCUCUGCGGUACGUGAGCGCAUGGCGGCGCGGGGGCCGCCGGGGAAGCUGUUCCACAGCGCGAAGCUGCUGGGGCAGGUGAGUUGGCUGCGCUGCUGCGUGCGCGACCCGCGCGGCGGCGAGGCCGCCGUGCUCAUGCUCUUUAGCCGCUGCUGGCGGGUGGAGCGGAUGUGACGGCUGGUGCAGGUGGAUGUCUCGAAGGUUGUGUUUGUGUCGGAGCUCGAGCGGGGCGGCGUUGGCGAGAAGGCGCCGCGGGAGCGCGACCGCCGCAAGGUGAUCCGCAUGCUGCACCGGGGAGGGGUGGCGGAGAGGAAUUUCCGCCGUGCCCCUGGCCAAGUACGAGGGCGCCAUCAGCUGCAUUGCCGGCGUGUCUGUGGUGUGUUGCGUCUUCACGACGAGCCUGCGCGCGUAGCGGCGGCGGCAGCGGGGCCGCCAACUCAAGACAGCCAUCGAGGCCACCUCGAAGGCCGCCCAGUCAUCGAAGGGCGAGGGUGUGCUGGCGCCGCUCGGUGGGGCCUUCGCCGUGAAGCGCAAGGAUGAGGGGGCGGUGGUGCGCCGUGCGCUGACGCAGGUGGUGCCGUUGCAUUCCCGCCGCGCGGCGCUGGAGAAGCGGGCGCGGCUCGCGCACGUCGGCGUCCGCGGCACGCAGGGCAGGCCUCGCAGCGUCGAGGCGCUCGGCGUGGACUCCGUGGGAGGGUGCAUGUCGGAUGGCGAAGGCUGCGAAGGGCGAGGCGCCGUUGGUCAUGCUGAGGCUGCGCGGGGGCAGUAGUUUGCGGCGGGUGUGCGCCCAUGGAGUCGCUCCGCAUGGCGACCGCUUGACUGCCGCGCCGGGACUGCUGCAUGGGGCCCGUGCCCAGCCGCGAGCAGGCGCUCGCCUGCACGCAGCACACCACCGACGCCGUCAGUCGCAAUCAUCUGAUCAACAUCACUGCAGCGAGCGGCAACGGUUUGGCCGAGCUGCUUGCCGCCGUGCAUCCGCGCCGCGUCCCGGCGGCACGACAUGCGAGUCAGCUGCAGGCGACGUGCGCCGACGGCCCGGUGCUGCGGGCCGCGCUGCAGCAGCUCUCCGCCAGCCCCCUACGACGCUGGCCAGCACGCCGGCGGAGACACGGCGGCGCCGCGCAGUGCGGCGCUGGGGGACGUUGUGUUGGACGGUCCCGUAAGGGAUGCGCGGCUGUUCCGCGACAGGCUUUUCCCCGCCGCCUCCCGGCGCUUCUUGCUGUAGACGCGCGGUGAGGUGAGGUGGUGGUGCUGGGGACCUGUGCGAGCGCGUGCGUGUGAGGGGGUGCAUGGGAGUGGACACCGAUGUAGGGGCACUCUCACACGCUGCGACUCACCCCCUUGCCCUCCUCGCGCAAUCGCGCGCAUGCGGGGUCGCUGCUUCUCACACCUGCUCUUUGGCGUUCUUCCCCUUUUCUGUGGUGCAGUCUCUGUGCGCUUACCUUCCGCCUUUAUCCGCCGCGUCUCUCUCUCUCUGUUGCCUGCAGUGAGCGGGGUGAGCGGUGCUGGCGGCUUGUCGCAGCGGUGGCAGCGGUGGGGUGCCGCAUGUGAGGGCCGCGACGAAGGCGGUGCGCGCGUGUGUGUGUGUGCCGCUGCUUCCUCUGCACACGCCUCUCCAAAGGCCUGCCACAGGCGCUCCUACGACGACGCGAAGAAGAGCAACAGGAGACUCCAGGCGAUACGUUCUGCAACGGCGGCCCUUCGCGCCGGCCUUCUCUCGUCCCUCGUCCUCGCUGUGCGCAGCGCCGUUUUUGCGCUACCGAGAGGGAGCAAAGGCGGAGAGGGGAGGAAGAGGAGCACGCUGGGGGUUCGCGGGCUGUUUCCGGUGCGAGACGACUGCACAGCGCAGCAGACGCGGCGCAGGCGGGGGUCAGCGAGGUGGGAGGGAAGCCGACAGGUGAGGGGCGUGGGAGGGGGAGGGGCAGGGCUUGCCCGGAGGGUAGCAGGCAAUGCACCCUGUCCUCUCCGCCUGGCCCCCUUCCCUUGCGCUUCGGUCUCCUGCUCGCUGCCGUUGCGGCAUGUCUCGCAUGCACCUUCCCCCUCUCCUGAUGCUUGUGUGCAUGCCGGCAAAUGGCCCAUGCGCUCCCGCUGUGCACGCCUCGCAGUGCCACUUGCCUGUCUCCUCACCACUGCCUCCCCCCUCCCCCCACAUUUCUCUCCCCGUCUCUCCCUCUUUUCACUCCCGCUCACAUCUCCCAUCCCUCCCCCUCUCAAAACGAACACGCGCGAACCAAUGCAAAACAACACCAUGCGCGUGCACACGCAACGACAACAG